rnacentral:rRNA from 1 species
UUAGUGGCGGACGGGUGAGGUAACGCGUGGAGUAACCUAGCCGUAUACCGGGGAGUAACACUUAGAAAUAGGUGCUAAUACCGCAUAAGCGCACGGCUCCGCAUGGGGCAGUGUGAAAAACUCCGGUGGUAUACGAUGGAUCCGCGUCUGAUUAGCUAGUUGGCGGGGUAACGGCCCACCAAGGCAGCGAUCAGUAGCCGGCCUGAGAGGGUGGACGGCCACAUUGGGACUGAGACACGGCCCAAACUCCUACGGAAGGCAGCAG